GACGAACGCUGGCGGCGUGCUUAACACAUGCAAGUCGAACGGUAAGGCUCCAGCUUGCUGGGGUACACGAGUGGCGAACGGGUGAGUAACACGUGGGUGACCUGCCCUGCACUUCGGGAUAAGCCUGGGAAACUGGGUCUAAUACCGGAUAGGACCAUGGUGUGGAUACUGUGGUGGAAAGUUUUUUCGGUGUGGGAUGGGCCCGCGGCCUAUCAGCUUGUUGGUGGGGUAAUGGCCUACCAAGGCGGCGACGGGUAGCCGGCCUGAGAGGGUGAACGGCCACAUUGGGACUGAGACACGGCCCAGACUCCUACGGGAGGCAACAGUGGGGAAUAUUGCACAAUGGGCGGAAGCCUGAUGCAGCGACGCCGCGUGGGGGAUGACGGCCUUCGGGUUGUAAACUCCUUUCACCAUCGACGAAGGGUUUCUGACGGUAGACGGAGAAGAAGCACCGGCUAACUACGUG
rnacentral:rRNA from 1 species